CUUACGCUAAUACCGCAUACGACCUACGGGUGAAAGCAGGGGGAUCUUCGGACCUUGCGCGAUUGAAUGAGCCGAUGUCGGAUUAGCUAGUUGGCGGGGUAAAGGCCCACCAAGGCGACGAUCCGUAGCUGGUCUGAGAGGAUGAUCAGCCACACUGGAACUGAGACACGGUCCAGACUCCUACGGGAGGCAGCAGUGGGGAAUAUUGGACAAUGGGCGCAAGCCUGAUCCAGCCAUACCGCGUGGGUGAAGAAGGCCUUCGGGUUGUAAAGCCCUUUUGUUGGGAAAGAAAUCCAGCUGGCUAAUACCCGGUUGGGAUGACGGUACCCAAAGAAUAAGCACCGGCUAACUUCGUGCCAGCAGCCGCGGUAAUACGAAGGGUGCAAGCGUUACUCGGAAUUACUGGGCGUAAAGCGUGCGUAGGUGGUCGUUUAAGUCCGUUGUGAAAGCCCUAGGCUCAACCUGGGAACUGCAGUGGAUACUGGGC
rnacentral:rRNA from 1 species